GGAUCCGUGGCGCAAAUGGUAGCGCGUCUGAUUCCAGAUCAGAAGGUUGUGUGUUUGAUUCACGUUGGGUUCA